rnacentral:lncRNA from 1 species
CUUCAGAGGAACAGACAGCACAGGAAGGUACUCGAGUUACUCGGAAACUGCUGCCGGCACCAAGUUCCAGUCUGCUGCGAAGUCUGCUUGACUUGCACACACAGAGUCUGUUUAAUAGAUUACUUGCAUAACUAGGAUUUUCAUCAGGGAGGAUGGAAUUUGAACUCUCAAGUCCAACUGCGAAGUGAAAUAACAGAAAUUUGACUGCUCAGCGUGCAAUGGAUGGUGCAGGAGCAAAGGGAAAUGCCAGUAAAUACCAGGGAGUGGAAGGACAGUCACAUGCAACUUCUCUAUCAAACCCACUGAUGAGUGAUGAUCUCACUUUCCAGCCUGAAAAAUCACUAUAUAUUGUUC